CCUACGGGUGGCAGCAGUGAGGAAUAUUGGUCAAUGGACGAGAGUCUGAACCAGCCAAGUAGCGUGAAGGAUGACUGCCCUAUGGGUUGUAAACUUCUUUUAUAUGGGAAUAAAACGUUCCACGUGUGGGAUUUUGUAUGUACCAUAUGAAUAAGGAUCGGCUAACUCCGUGCCAGCAGCCGCGGUAAUACGGAGGAUCCGAGCGUUCUCCGGAUUUAUUGGGUUUAAAGGGAGCGUAGGUGGAUUGUUAAGUCAGUUGUGAAAGUUUGCGGCUCAACCGUAAAAUUGCAGUUGAAACUGGCAGUCUUGAGUACAGUAGAGGUAGGCGGAAUGCGUGGUGUAGCGGUGAAAUGCUUAGAUAUCACGAAGAACUCCGAUUGCGAAGGCAGUUCACUGGACUGCAACUGACACUGAGGCUCGAAAGUGUGGGUAUCAAACAGGAUUAGAUACCCCUGUAGUC
rnacentral:rRNA from 1 species